CACCAGAGUUACACAAGCUGCACAAAAGUAUUAGAAAAAUAUGACACACAUUUCCUGCCAUCCUAUCAAAGUAAGAAAACCAGUAUUGUUAUAGUCAAUUAUUCUCACAGAAAUCAUAAAUCACAGUUUCUUAACAAUCCUGUGUGAUUUCUCCUUGUCUUCAGUCCAAGCCACAGAAAAGAAGUCUCCUUAUCUCAGGUUUGGAUCACUUCGUAAGUCACAAUUUUUAAAAAUCCCCCAUGAUUUCUCCUUCUAUUCAGUCCAAACCAUAGAGAGGUCUCCAUAUUUCAAAUUAUAGAGUUCCUUCGUGGGUCUCAGUGUUUUAAAAUCCUCCACGAUU